rnacentral:rRNA from 1 species
UACGAAGGGGGCUAGCGUUGCUCGGAAUCACUGGGCGUAAAGGGUGCGUAGGCGGGUUUUUAAGUCAGGGGUGAAAUCCUGGAGCUCAACUCCAGAACUGCCUUUGAUACUGAGGAUCUUGAGUACGGGAGAGGUGAGUGGAACUGCGAGUGUAGAGGUGAAAUUCGUAGAUAUUCGCAAGAACACCAGUGGCGAAGGCGGCUCACUGGCCCGUAACUGACGCUGAGGCACGAAAGCGUGGGGGAGCAAACAGG